rnacentral:tRNA from 1 species
UGGCUCGCUUGGUUGAGCAUGGCACUUGCAAUGCCAGGGUUGUGGGUUCGAUUCCCAU